AUAUUUGUGGCAGAUAUCUUUUUUUGCUUUAUUUUUAAGAAAAUGAAGUUUUACCUGUAUUGCUGAGCCUUUAUCUAGUAAGCCUUAUCUCUUUAACGAUGUAGUCAUGGGAAUGAAAUUUUGUUAAUAAAAGUUUUCAGUAUUUUAAAUUCUUUCACACAUACACUUUUUGUUUGCAAAAUACUGAUUUGAUAAAAAUCUUUUUUAUUAAAUAAGUUGUGUGGACUAGUUGUCAAAAACAGAUUAUUACUAAUAUUGGUAAAAGGAAGGUGACAUGAUAAGUAUUUUUCUAGAACUGAAGAUCAUAUGGAGGUUCCCAGGCUAGGGGUCUAAUUGGAGCUCUAGCCACUGGCCUACAACACAGCCACAUCAAUGCCAGAUCCGAGCUGAGUCUGCAGUCUACACCACAGCUCAGCAGCGCCAGAUCCUUAACCCACUGAGCGAGGCCAGGGAUUGAACCCUCAAGCUCAUGGUUCCUAGUUGGAUUCAUUUCCGCUGUGCCACGAUGGGAACUCCUCCUAAAUCUUUUUGAAAUCAUUUUUUAAGACAGUCUUAAAACAGAGCGAAAAACUAUUUCAAAACAGAUUUAAUUCAAUUCAGCAAUUUAAUUCAACAAUUUUUACUUUUUAAAUUGUCAGACUAACUUAAUAUUAGGAAAAGUUUAAAAGGAAUAAUUAUCCAUAAUCCCCACCAUUAUAGCGUUAUUAUUUUUAUACAUUGGCCAAGUUUAAAUACAUAUUUUAAGAUAGUUAUGAAUGGGGACAUUUUAUUUUAUAGGUUUUUAGAAUGUAUUACUUUUUAAAAAAUACAGGUUUGUAAUGUUACUUAGUAACAAGAUACCAUUUUACUUUGUUGUUGUACAAUAGCCUGAAAAUAGGUACAGGCUAGUGAAGCGACUCCAUCUCAUAAAGAAAUAUAGGCAUUCACUGGUCCUGGCUGUCUGUGAGCUGCUGCCAGUCCACCCUUCAGCCUGUGGGGAGGGAAGGGGAGGGGACAGAGUGGAAGCACAGGGCUUUUCACACCCAGGUGAGCAGGAAACUAGUCUGUCAGACCAGUUCUCACUAGUCACUUUGGUGAGAACUUUCAUGCUCACUUAGCUGUAUGGGAGACUGUUGGGGAGAAAUAACACAGUAGGAAUGUGCUGUACACAGCUUUGACCACGUUUUAGUUUCCUUAGGAUUUUUUUGAGGUGGGGGGGCUCCCCUGCUGCCUAUGGCAUUCCUGGGCCAGAGAUCAGAAUCUGAGCCACUGUCUUGACCUAAGCUGCAGCUGUGGCAGUGCCAGAUCCUUAACCUAGUGUGCUGGGCCAGGGAU
rnacentral:lncRNA from 1 species